rnacentral:rRNA from 1 species
GGAGGGGUGCAAGCGUUAAUCGGAAUUACUGGGCGUAAAGCGCACGCAGGGCGGUUUGUUAAGUCAGAUGUGAAAUCCCCGGGGCUCAACCUGGGAACUGCAUCUGAUACUGGCAAGCUUGAGUCUCGUAGAGGGGGGUAGAAUUCCAGGUGUAGCGGUGAAAUGCGUAGAGAUCUGGAGGAAUACCGGUGGCGAAGGCGGCCCCCUGGACGAAGACUGACGCUCAGGUGCGAAAGCGUGGGGAGCAAACAGGAUUAGAUACCCUGGUAGUCCACGCCGUAAACGAUGUCGACUUGGAGGUUGUGCCCUUGAGGCGUGGCUUCCGGAGCUAACGCGUUAAGUCGACCGCCUGGGGAGUACGGCCGCAAGGUUAA